rnacentral:rRNA from 1 species
CCUACGGGUGGCAGCAGUGGGGAAUAUUGGGCAAUGGGCGCAAGCCUGACCCAGCAACGCCGCGUGAAGGAAGAAGGCUUUCUGGUUGUAAACUUCUUUUCUCAGGGACGAAGCAAGUGACGGUACCUGAGGAAUAAGCCACGGCUACCUACGUGCCAGCAGCCGCGGUAAUACGUAGGUGGCAAGCGUUAUCCGGAUUUACUGGGUGUAAAGGGCGUGUAGGCGGGGACGGAAGUCAGAUGUGAAAACCACGGGCUCAACCUGGGGCCUGCAUUUGAAACUGUGUUUCUUGAGUACUGGAGAGGCAGGCGGAAUUAGUAGUGUAGCGGUGAAAUGCGUAGAUAUUAGGAGGAACACCAGUGGCGAAGGCAGUCUGCUGGACAGCAACUGACGCUGAGGCGCGAAAGCGUGGGGAGCAAACAGGAUUAGAUACCCGUGUAGUC